rnacentral:lncRNA from 1 species
ACUGACACUUUUGGGACUCAGCCCUCCUGCACCCAGGUGAUUAAAAGCUUUAUUGCUCACACAAAGCCUGUUUGGUGGUCUCUUCACAGGGACGCGCAUGAAAUUUGGUGCCGUGACUCGGAUCGGGGGACCUCCCUUGGGAGAUCAAUCCCCUGUCCUCCUGUUCUUUGCUCCGUGAGAAAGAGCCACCUACGACCUCAGGUCCUCAGACCAACCAGCCCAAGAAACAUCUCACCAAUUUCAAAUCCGCCACUCCCAGAGCCCCUGGAACUCUGGCCCAAGGCUCUCUGACUGACUCCUUCCCAGAUCUUCUCGGCUUAGCGGCUGAAGACUGACACUGCCCGAUCGCCUCGGAAGCCCCCUAGACCAUCACAGACGCCGAGCUUCAGCAGGAGAAGACAAGGAGAUGGAGAGACUGUCAACCUAGAACCAGUAAUGACCAGUUCCAACUUAAUUGCAGAAAGGGAGAAAAGAUCAAUCAUUUAAGUUGCUUCAUCGUCUAAAUAAAAGUGUUUUGGCUGGUGAAACAUG